rnacentral:lncRNA from 1 species
AUGAACAAAGCUACUGAAGGUGAUGGAAUUCCAGUUGAGCUAUUUCAAAUCCUGAAAGAUGAUGCUGUGAAAGUGCUGCACUCAAUAUGCCAGCAAAUUUGGAAAUCUCAGCAGUGGCCACAGGACUGGAAAAGGUCAGUUUUCAUUCCAAUCCAAAAGAAAGGCAAUGCCAAAGCAUGCUCAAAUUACUGCACAAUUGAACUCAUCUCACACACUAGUAAAGUAAUGGUCAAAAUAAUCCAAGCCAGGCUUCAACAAUACGUGAACCGUGAACUUCCAGAUGUUCAAGCUGGUUUUAGAAAAGGCAGAGGAACCAGAGAUCAAAUUGCCAACAUCCACUGGAUCAUGGAAAAAGCUAGAGAGUUCCAGAAAAAAACAUCUAUUUCUGCUUUAUUGACUAUGCCAAAGCUUUUGACUGUGUGGAUCACAAUAAACUGGAAAAUUCUGAGAGAGAUGGGAAUACCAGACCACCUGACCUGCUUCUCCAGAAAUCUGUAUGCAGGUCAGGAAGCAACAGUUAGAACUGGACAUGGAACAACAGACUGGUUCCAAAUAGGAAAAGGAGUAUUUCAAGGCUGCAUAUUGUCACCCUGCUUAUUUAACUUCUAUGCAGAGUACAUCAUGAGAAAAUCUGGUCUGGAAGAAACACAAGCUGGAAUCAAGAUUGCCAGGAGAAAUGUCAAUAACCUCAGAUAUGCAGAAGACAGCAUCCUUAUGGCAGAAAGUGAAGAGGAACUAAAAAGCCUCUUGAUAAAAGUGAAAGAGGAGAGUGAAAAAGUUGGCUUAAAGCUCAACAUUCAGAAAACGAAGAUCAUGGCAUCUGGUCCCAUCACUUCAUGGGAAAUAGAUGGGGAAACAGUAGAAACAGUGUCAGACUUUAUUUUUUUUUUUGGGGGGGGGUGCUCCAAAAUCAUUGCAGAUGGUGAUUGCAGCCAGAAAAUUAAAAGACACUUACUUCUUGGAAGGAAAGUUGUGACCAACCUAGAUAGCAUAUUCAAAAGCAGAGACACUACUUUGCCAACAAAGGUCCAUCUAGUCAAGGCUAUGGUUUUUCCAAUGGUCACAUAUGGAUGUUAG